GAGGGUAUAGCUCGGUGGUAGAGCAUGUGCCUAGCAUGCAGGAGGUCCUGGGUUCAAUCCCCAGUACCGUCA
rnacentral:tRNA from 1 species